ACUGAUCAUACAUAGUUAGUAACCCUAGCCUGUACACUGGUUCUGUGGCAUAAAUAGGAGCAGAAAGACCGAGUUGUUUCAUGGCAUAGGGCAAAGCACCAAGAUGAAAUGUAUCAGAGUGUGAAAUCAAUACAGCAUCCACCGUUGAAGCCACCCUGGAUAGGGGUUGAAGAAGAGAAGUAUCAAAGUGGUCAUUCCAACCGCAAUCGACAAGGAAAUUGAAGCCGUCGAUGGAGACGAGGUAAGACAGUGGGUUCUCAUUGUAUACUCCACAGAGUGGCGUCACCUGAACCGACGUUCCCAUGCCGCCACCGUCGCUCUCCGCUUCUCUUUGCUUAAUCCCACAGUGAGUCGCCG
rnacentral:misc_RNA from 1 species